AUGGGUUUUGCCAGUGACUACUCGGACUCAUCAAGCAUCAGAGAAUCAGAACGUGUCCUCCCUAGGACCUCUCAGAGAAGCACAGAGGCGAUUUCAGGAGACACUGCCUUGCUCACAUCCAAGAUACGGGUAGGUGGUUCUCUUUCUUUCCUCUCCCCGUAGAUUGAGGGGGAAACACUGAACAGAGUGUUAUCAAAUCAGAUGACUAGAGAUGACUGUUGGGUCCUGUGAGGUGAAGCCCACCUGGGACACACCGGUGUCAAGACUGUGUUUGCGGCUUAUUCCUCCCUGUGGAUUUUAGAGGGUAAGAGAGACCACUGACCUUGAUUUCUUUGUGCAGUUCUCCAUGGUAGAUCAUCUUUAGAAUACUUGCCUGUCC
rnacentral:lncRNA from 1 species